rnacentral:lncRNA from 1 species
ACUGCUGUCUGAAACAAAAAUGAGGGAAGGACAAAUGGAAGGAAGAAUGUGUCAGAUGAAUGACACCAAAAUUUGGCAAAUAAUACUGAUUUGAAAGCUUGGAGAAAACACACCGUUCUGUGAAGCCACACUGCAAGACUGUCUCUGAUAAGAGUUGGGGCUGUUGAGAAGCCUUUGCCUGGUGUUUAUUGUUACCCAGCUCUCGCCUGUUAUAAGAAGAAGCCCUCGAAUGGAGCCACCCUGAGAGAACAGUCUCAGCAUGUUCUGAGCUCAAAGCAUAUGCUGAAAGAUGAAAAUCCUAAUUGCAGACUGAUGUGCCCAUGGUGUUUUGUUUUCUAUUUUAAAGGAGAGAGGCCAAUGUUCUUGUGCAAAGUGAAUUUUGAGCAAGGCAGAGCAGUUACGUGGGAGGUUUUGGGAGACCCAAGUGAAGUCUGCCUCUUAAUGACCAGGCACAAGCUCCAGGGAGGUUGGGGAUUAACAGCUCACAUGCUUGAAGGUGUGAUCCAUAUUCUGCAAAAUGAUCAGCUGUAGCAGUGAUAAAGGUGAUAUAUUUCCAAUUGUUUUACUUUUUAUUUUCAUUCAGAACCUGAGGAAAAAUGGUGUUAUUUAUUGACUGCCUCAAGAACUUCAAAUACAGUCCUUAAUGCAUUGCUUGAAACAAAUUAACAUAUCUUUGUUUCUUGAAUUCGAGCAAGAUAUUAUCAACACAUACACACACACAUACACACACUUCACUUUAUACUAUUAUUGCAAUACUGUAUUUAUUGUUUAAAUUUUGAUUCAGAAA